AGUAUUUUCUUUAUUUUUCCAUAAAGUUGUAGUGUGCUUACUUCUUCAGCCGUCGAGAUUAAGAAAACAAAAACCUAACGAUCCUGAUUCCAUUUCCACGGCCAAGUAACGCACCGGAGAUGUCAUUAAUUGACGAAAACCCACUAACCCCACGAUCCAUCUUUAUUCACAUGUCAAAUUCACAGAUUCACUUCUCCGACUUGAAGGCCGGCCCGCGUUUAGACCAGACUCCGGAGGUCAGUUGAUGGCCGUCGAUAUGCUCCUUAUUGAUGCCAAGAAGUGAAAGUUGGUUCUUAACUCCAUGAGCAAGUGAGUUAGUUUAGGAGGCAGCUCCGGUCCAUGUCUGCACUUCUGAAGGUGAUUAUUUUUGAGCCUACUUAACAUAUUAUAUUCUUACAUUAGGUUGUUAGUGUCACAUAAUAGGCCGAGAGAUCUUGGGCCUAUUGACACUGGCGAUUGAGAUCUUAAUAGAUUGUUAUAGAUUUGGUACUAACGAUGACGUAUUUCCUCUUCUGGGAUGG